rnacentral:miRNA from 1 species
UUACCCUGUAGUACCGAGCAAGUG